rnacentral:rRNA from 1 species
GUCAGCAGCCAUAUCAUCCUGCAACUCACAAGUGGCAACCCACUGAAGCUCAGCAAUUGUGAGCCUGGCCAGUACCUGGAUGGGAGACCUCCUGGGAAAAACUAAAGUUGCUGCUGGAA